ACUUGGAGUUCAAACGUGUGCGGUUCUUGCGCUGUCCGGUGCGCUCCUGUCGGCCUUUGAAAAUCCGAGUGAGGGAGUGUGAUUUUCGUGCCGGACCGUACCCACAUCCGCAGCAGGUCUCUAAGGUGAACAGCCUCUAGUCGAUAGACCAAUGUAGGUAAGGGGUGUCGCGG
rnacentral:lncRNA from 1 species